rnacentral:rRNA from 1 species
GAUAUGGCUCAGGAUGAACGCUAGCGGCAGGCUUAACACAUGCAAGCGAGGGGCAACGCGAGUAGCAAUACUUGGCGGCGACCGGCGCAAGGGUGCGUAACGCGUGAGCAACAUGCCCGUAUCAGGGGGAUAAUCCAGGGAAACUUGGUCUAAUACCCCAUAGUAAUUUUGUAAGGCAUCUUAUAAGAUUUAAAGCUUUGGUGGAUACGGAUUGGCUCGCGUGACAUUAGCUGGAUGGUAAGGUAACGGCUUACCAUGGCUAUGAUGUCUAGGGGUUCUGAGAGGAAGGUCCCCCACACUGGAACUGAGACACGGUCCAGACUCCUACGGGAGGCAGCAGUGAGGAAUAUUGGACAAUGGAUGGAAAUCUGAUCCAGCCAUGCCGCCGUGAAGGAAGAAGGUCCUAUGGAUUGUAAACUUCUUUUGUAUGGGAGCAAUAAGGCCUACGUGUAGGUUGAUGAGAGUACCAUACGAAUAAGCACCGGCUAACUCCGUGCCAGCCGCCGC